GGACAGGACAGUCGCGCGGGGAGCCGCAUCUCCUCCUGGAAAAGUUUGAGGCACCUCUGCUGAGACGCACAGCUCAGAGGCAUCCUUGCAACCAGAUUCGUUCUCCUGUUUCAGCCAAAUUGGUCCCUUCUGCUGGAAAAUAACUCCUGGAUAACUUACUCCAGUCAUCAUCUGCCUGUCCACCCUUCAGUGUUUUCCAGUGGCUUCAAGGAGCAAGCCAGUGGCGCUCUCAGAGUCUCAGACUCCCCUGGCUGGCACAUUUUCUUGAAUCAUAAACUUGUGACGUUCAUUCUUCUAAAUCACUUUUUGUAAAUAAACCAGUUUCAGUAUGAAACAGUCUGUCUCAGAUCCUGCAUUAGAGUUCACUUUAAACUACUGCCACCACCUUGUUUGUCUUUUGCCAAAUGUGAAAACAAUUGUGGCCCAGCA